UACACGACCGUACCGCAAACCGACACUGGUGCGCGAGAUGAGUAUUCUAAGGCGCUUGAGAGAACUCAGGAGAAGGAACUCGGCAAAUUGACACCGUAACUUCGGAAGAAGGUGUGCCUUUAGUAGGUGAAGUCCCUCGCGGAUGGAGCCCAAUGAGGUUGCAAAAAAUCGGUGGCUGCGACUGUUUAUUAAAAACACAGCACUCUGCAAACACGAAAGUGGACGUAUAGGGUGUGACGCCUGCCCGGUGCUGGAAGAUUAAAUGAUGGGGUGCAAGCUCUUGAUUGAAGUCCCAGUAAACGGCGGCCGUAACAAUAACGGUCCUAAGGUAGCGAAAUUCCUUGUCGGGUAAGUUCCGACCUGCACGAAUGGCGUAACGAUGGCCACACUGUCUCCUCCUGAGACUCAGCGAAGUUGAAAUGUUUGUGAUGAUGCAAUCUCCCCGCGGAAAGACGGAAAGACCCCAUGAACCUUUACUGUAGCUUUGUAUUGGACUUUGAACAGAUCUGUGUAGGAUAGGUGGGAGGCUUUGAAGCAGGGUCGCUAGAUCUUGUGGAGCCAACGUUGAAAUACCACCCUGGUGUGUUUGAGGUUCUAACCUAGGCCCGUAAUCCGGGUUGGGGACAGUGCAUGGUAGGCAGUUUGACUGGGGCGGUCUCCUCCCAAAGUGUAACGGAGGAGUUCGAAGGUACGCUAGUUACGGUCGGACAUCGUGACGAUAGUGCAAUGGCAUAAGCGUGCUUAACUGCGAGACUGACAAGUCGAGCAGAUGCGAAAGCAGGACAUAGUGAUCCGGUGGUUCUGUAUGGAAGGGCCAUCGCUCAACGGAUAAAAGGUACUCUGGGGAUAACAGGCUGAUACCGCCCAAGAGUUCAUAUCGACGGCGGUGUUUGGCACCUCGAUGUCGGCUCAUCUCAUCCUGGGGCUGUAGCCGGUCCCAAGGGUAUGGCUGUUCGCCAUUUAAAGAGGUACGUGAGCUGGGUUUAAAACGUCGUGAGACAGUUUGGUCCCUAUCUUCCGUGGGCGCUGCAGAUUUGAGGAAGCCUGCUCCUAGUACGAGAGGACCGGAGUGGACGCACCUCUGGUGUAUCGGUUGUCACGCCAGUGGCAUUGCCGAGUAGCUAUGUGCGGAAGAGAUAACCGCUGAAAGCAUCUAAGCGGGAAACUCGUUUCAAGAUGAGAUCUGCCGGGGCCUUGAGCCCCCUGAAGAGUCGUUCAAGACCAGGACGUUGAUAGGUCGGGUGUGGAAGCGCAGUAAUGCGUUAAGCUAACCGAUACUAAUUGCUCGUGCGGCUUGACCAA
rnacentral:rRNA from 1 species